GUCCGACUGUGUGUUGAGAGUUGUGGCCAGAGAAGUGCCAGGGUCUUCGUAACGUACUACACGCCCGCAGGAUUCGUCCCUUUCUGGAAUGUGUGUCGCCUACGUCUGGUGGUGACUGCCUUGAGUGCUGUGGCUAGUGGUUCUGCUCACGUCACCACUGUUGAUGGGGGAUGUGUAUAGAGGCCAUGUGGAGUUCGGGCUGUUUCCUGUACUGUCAGAAGUGUAUGGACAAUUGGAUGCCUCGUAUUUUGCUGUGGCAGUGGUCAAGGCUGACUCCAGCAUCACCUCCUCAGUCAACUCAAAGGCAAGUCCUGUCAUACUGGGAUUGAAAAACAGCAGGGUGGAAGAUUCCUGUGGUAACCUUACUGGAGGCUGGUCUUCUGAAGGCAGGCAAUUGUGACUACGCCGGGGAGAUUGGCACCUUCUUCAGUAGUUCUUGUGCCCCAGGUGCCAAGGAUCCUACAUAUGAUCCAAGGCACUAACCAAGUCACUCUGUGAGCUAUGUGUUGGCACUGAGGUAGGUACACGCAUAUUGUCAC